CUUAGGCGUGUGACUGCGUACCUUUUGUAUAAUGGGUCAGCGACUUAUAUUCUGUAGCAAGGUUAACCGAAUAGGGGAGCCGAAGGGAAACCGAGUCUUAACUGGGCGUUAAGUUGCAGGGUAUAGACCCGAAACCCGGUGAUCUAGCCAUGGGCAGGUUGAAGGUUGGGUAACACUAACUGGAGGACCGAACCGACUAAUGUUGAAAAAUUAGCGGAUGACUUGUGGCUGGGGGUGAAAGGCCAAUCAAACCGGGAGAUAGCUGGUUCUCCCCGAAAGCUAUUUAGGUAGCGCCUCGUGAAUUCAUCUCCGGGGGUAGAGCACUGUUUCGGCAAGGGGGUCAUCCCGACUUACCAACCCGAUGCAAACUGCGAAUACCGGAGAAUGUUAUCACGGGAGACACACGGCGGGUGCUAACGUCCGUCGUGAAGAGGGAAACAACCCAGACCGCCAGCUAAGGUCCCAAAGUCAUGGUUAAGUGGGAAACGAUGUGGGAAGGCCCAGACAGCCAGGAUGUUGGCUUAGAAGCAGCCAUCAUUUAAAGAAAGCGUAAUAGCUCACUGGUCGAGUCGGCCUGCGCGGAAGAUGUAACGGGGCUAAACCAUGCACCGAAGCUGCGGCAGCGACGCUGAUGCGUUGUUGGGUAGGGGAGCGUUCUGUAAGCCUGCGAAGGUGUGCUGUGAGGCAUGCUGG
rnacentral:rRNA from 1 species